rfam:Mus musculus chromosome X, GRC primary reference assembly.
AAUGUUUUCUUCAGUACCGUGCAAAGCUGAAACAAUACAGAGUAGAUUAGUGUGGUACUUAUGCCAGGGUGAUAGGCAACAUUGUGAAAUGUUUCAUAUUUUU